rnacentral:rRNA from 1 species
UACGAAGGGGGCUAGCGUUGCUCGGAAUCACUGGGCGUAAAGGGUGCGUAGGCGGGUCUUUUAAGUCAGGGGUGAAAUCCUGGAGCUCAACUCCAGAACUGCCCUUGAUACUGGCGAUCUCGAGUUCGGGAGAGGUGAGUGGAACUGCGAGUGUAGAGGUGAAAUUCGUAGAUAUUCGCAAGAACACCGGUGGCGAAGGCGGCAUCCUGGACCGAUACUGACGCUGAGGAGCGAAAGCCAGGGGAGCAAACGGG